rnacentral:lncRNA from 1 species
UAGCUCUCAACUACUAGUCUAUGUACUAUACUUUUGCCUUCUACAUUCUUCUACCAUUUGUUUAUAAACAAGUGCAGCCCCAAACAUUGAUCUACUCAACACUUGGCACACCACAAUGGCUCACCACGGGCAUCCUCCACCUCCACCAGACCCUUUUGCACCCCCACCGCCAGGGCAUCCGGCACCACCUCCACCUGACCCUUUUGCUCCACCACCGCCAGGGCAUCCGGCACCACCUCCACCAGACCCCUUCGCACCACCUAUGUUCGGGCAGCCUCCACCGCCAGCACCACCUAUUCCGCACAAUCCGCCACCACCUCAAUUUGGGCAGCCUCCACCUCCUCAAGGUCCAGGAGGACCUCCUCCACCACCCCCAUAUUAGCCUAUAGCAUAAAAAUUUGAUUAGAUUCUUAUAGAAUUGUAACAAUAAAUAAGAGAGUAGAUAUUGUUAUGUUGAAUGUUGGAAGUGGAUGGUAAUAAUCUUUAUGUUACAAUAAAUGAGUUAGUGGUUGUUGCUCACAAAUUU